rnacentral:rRNA from 1 species
UACGGGGGGGGCAAGCGUUGUUCGGAUUUACUGGGCGUAAAGGGAGCGUAGGCUGUUGGUUAAGUCCGAUGUGAAAUCUUCACCGCUUAACGGGAAGUUGUCAUCGGAAACUGGCCAGCUAGAGUAAGGUAGAGGCAAGCGGAAUUCCUGGUGUAGCGGUGGAAUGUGUAGAUAUCAGGAAGAACAUCUGUGGCGAAGGCGGCUUGCUGGGCCUUUACUGACGCUGAGGCUCGAAAGCGUGGGGAGCAAACGGG